GACAGAGGUGGCAAGCGUUGUUCGGAAUCACUGGGCUUAAAGGGCGCGUAGGUGGUAGUGCAAGUCUGAGGUGGAAUCUUAGGGCUUAACCCUAAAAUUGCCUUGGAAACUGCAUUACUUGAGUCAGUGAGGGGAGGGUAGAAUUCCUGGUGUAGCGGUGAAAUGCGUAGAUAUCAGGAGGAAGGCCGGUGGCGAAGGCGGCCCUCUGGCGCUGAACUGACACUGAGGCGCGAAAGCGUGGGUAG
rnacentral:rRNA from 1 species